GCCCGCCGGGGGCUCCGGCUUGCAGGAGGUGCGGCGUGUGGAGUUCGCCGGCGCGCAGGGCGAUCUGCGGUUCCGGCGAGCGCAUCGCCGCGGCGACCGCC
rnacentral:tRNA from 1 species